GAGAGAUACUGUCAGACCGACAUGCAUUUGAGACAGCGCGGCGUCUGAGCCAUGACAACAUGGAGGAGAAGGUGCCCUGGGUGUGCCCCCGGCCCCUGGUUCUGCCCUCACCUCUUGUCACCCCUGGAAGCAACAGUCAGGAGCGAUAUAUCCAGGCUGAGCGGGAGAAGGGAAUCCUUCAGGAGCUCUUCCUGAACAAGGAGAGUCCUCAUGAGCCUGAUCCUGAGCCCUACGAGCCCAUACCCCCUAAACUCAUCCCCCUAGAUGAGGUAAGUCAAUGUUCUGUGAUGGAAAUUGUGAUGGUCAUUGAAUUCAGUGCAUCUUUCAUGUGAGAAUGUCUCUGUUCUGUCAGUCCUGAUUUUUUUGUUCUCCUUUCAGGAGUGUUCCAUGGAUGAGACUCCGUAUGUUGAGACCCUGGAACCUGGGGGGUCAGGUGGCUCACCUGACGGGGCAGGAGGCUCCAAGUUGCCUC
rnacentral:sRNA from 1 species